AAGAUGCAGUGUACCCGCGGCAAGACGGAAAGACCCCGUGAACCUUUACUAUAGCUUGACACUGAACAUUGAGCCUUGAUGUGUAGGAUAGGUGGGAGGCUUUGAAGUGUGGACGCCAGUCUGCAUGGAGCCGGCCUUGAAAUACCACCCUUUAAUGUUUGAUGUUCUAACGUGGACCCGUAAUCCGGGUUGCGGACAGUGUCUGGUGGGUAGUUUGACUGGGGCGGUCUCCUCCUAAAGAGUAACGGAGGAGCACGAAGGUUGGCUAAUCCUGGUCGGACAUCAGGAGGUUAGUGCAAUGGCAUAAGCCAGCUUGACUGCGAGCGUGACGGCGCGAGCAGGUGCGAAAGCAGGUCAUAGUGAUCCGGUGGUUCUGAAUGGAAGGGCCAUCGCUCAACGGAUAAAAGGUACUCCGGGGAUAACAGGCUGAUACCGCCCAAGAGUUCAUAUCGACGGCGGUGUUUGGCACCUCGAUGUCGGCUCAUCACAUCCUGGGGCUGAAGUAGGUCCCAAGGGUAUGGCUGUUCGCCAUUUAAAGUGGUACGCGAGCUGGGUUUAGAACGUCGUGAGACAGUUCGGUCCCUAUCUGCCGUGGGCGCUGGAGAACUGAGGGGGGCUGCUCCUAGUACGAGAGGACCGGAGUGGACGCAUCACUGGUGUUCGGGUUGUCAUGCCAAUGGCACUGCCCGGUAGCUAAAUGCGGAAGAGAUAAGUGCUGAAAGCAUCUAAGCACGAAACUUGCCCCGA
rnacentral:rRNA from 1 species